CUCCAGAUGUUGCUGAACUACAACUCUCAUUAUUCUCUGGCUAUCUGUUUCAGUCAAAGAAUCAUGGGAGUUGUAGUUCAGCAAUAUCUGGAG
rnacentral:miRNA from 1 species